GACGAACGCUGGCGGCGUGCCUAAUACAUGCAAGUAGGACGCAGUUGCGAAAGGGUGAGUAACGCGUAGGUCAAUGCCUGUUAGAGGGGGAUGACAAUUGGAAACGAUAGCUAAUACCGCAUACUAGUAGAUGGACCUGCGUUGUAUUAGCUUGUCGGUAGGGUAAUGGCCUACCUAGGCGACGGUACAUAGCCGAGCCGGGAAGGUGGACGGCCAACAUUGGACUGGGACACCGGCCAGGAUCCUUCGGGAGGGAGCAGGAGGGAAUCUUUGGCAAUGGGGGGAACCCUGACCGAGCAACGCCGCGUUGGUGAAGAAAGGUUUCGGAGCGUAAAAGUCUGUUGUUAAGGAAGCGGUACUUAACCAGAAAGGAACGGCUAACUACGUGCCAGCCGCCGCGGUAAUAC
rnacentral:rRNA from 1 species